GAGAGGAUGAGAACCUCCGGGGGCAGGGAGGUUCGACCCGAGCAGCGCGAGGGAGCGUUGCUUUAGCAACGACCCGAAGGGCGAGUCACAAAGUGACGAGUAAUCCUCUAUCA
rnacentral:sRNA from 1 species